AAUAACUAUGAGCGUCUCUGCUGAACACGCAGCCUCGUCCUGAGGUCUCUACUCACUUUCCGUCUGCAGGAAGUUCAGAGUUCUUUGUGUGUAAACGGAUCACCGGAGGGGAAACGCUGGCAGCAUCUAAGCGGCGAUGCGUCUCAUUUGGGGAAGUGGAGCCUGACGAUGUCAUCUUGCAUGUGAGGAGCAGCACUUUAAAAUUAGCACCCGCAGGGAGUGUUUUUAGAAAGGGGGGGGUCAAACCAGAGGGCGUUGAAAUGAAACAAACCCGGUGACACAUCAAUCUGAGCUCAAUGAGGUGCGUUUGAUUCAUCGUCCGACAUGUUUUCAUACGGGUGUGUGUGGCUUUUAUACAUUUAUACAAGUUAAAUGCUGCUUUAUUGUGAAAGGGUAUCUUUAGUUCAGUAUCAGAGUAAAUUCAAUACAUCCACCAAUUUGUCAAAAUAUAUGAUAAAAAUGUUCUGUUGCCCACAUUUGUUUACCUCAUUGUGAGAACUCAGUGUUUCAUCAUCCCCCAAACGCAAACAAGGACAAAGCCUUGAAGGUCAAAGGUUAGAUUUGAAAAAUGAGUAUUUUUGAGGAAAGUAGAAAAGUCUCUUAUGCUUUGGCCAAAGGUUUGUGAACCACUGGUUAAAAUGGGAAACCAGUGAACCGGGAAUCAAACCCGUGACCUCAGGCCGUCUUAGUUCACACAGCAUCUGUACCCGGUACGCGUAUUUAUACCCAGUACAUGUACACAGAUGCGUAUCGGGUGGAGAGAGGCUCCGGUGUCGGCCCGUUUUAACAGUGAGGUCAGUGAAGCUCCUUCUCUUCCUCCUCUUCCUCACCAAAUAUCCAUGUGUGUGUUCUACAGUUUGCACAGUGUGAUAUCGAUGACGUACACGUGAUACGAUACACACGAUGUAUCAGUGUGUUGCUUCAUAACCGACCCGCCGUGCCUGCAAUAAACCUGAAACUAUCCGACUGACAAGUGUCUGUUAAGUCAGAGUCUCUUUGGCACUUGUGGAGGAAGUCUGUAAAACAUCUUUUGGAGGACGCCUCGUGGGGGACAUCUCCUG
ensembl:lncRNA